AGGUAAACCAAAAUACAUCCCUACAAUACAUGCAUUAGCUGGUUCUAAGUCUCUUUGUAAAAUAGCAAGCUCAGCUUUGUAGUUCUUAUUCAUAUUCAUACAAUUUAUAUUUUCUCCUAACAAGGAAUUGCAUAAACUUCUACCAUUCCUCUACCAAAGAAGUAUUGUCUCAAUGAAGAUUGUAAAGUGUUUGGCAAGAGAAGAUAACUAGCCAGCCAACUUAAGCAUGUUUAAUCCUAAGGAGAGAGGAAAAAAGGGAAAGGAAUGUCAAAAGAUCAGUACUGGUAUUCAAUUCCUAUAUUUAUUACCAAGGCAGAGACCAUCAAAGGAAAGUUUGAAGUUCUCAGAGGUGAACACAAGAAGCGUGGAUGUGGCAUGUGAAGGGCAUGUGCUACAGUCCAGUCCCCAAGGAAUUUCACACCACUUGGCCAUCUAA
rnacentral:lncRNA from 1 species